UGACUGCUAUCGGAUUGAUACUAAGCCAUGCGAGUCAUUGUAGUAAUACAAGGCAGACGGCUCAGUAACGCGUAGUCAACCUAACCUAUGGACGGGAAUAACCUCGGGAAACUGAGUAUAAUGCCCGAUAGAACAUUAUGCCUGGAAUGGUUUAUGUUCCAAAUGAUUUAUCGCCGUAGGAUGGGACUGCGGCCUAUCAGUUUGUUGGUGAGGUAAUGGCCCACCAAGACUAUUACAGGUACGGGCUCUGAGAGGAGUAGCCCGGAGAUGGGUACUGAGACACGGACCCAGGCCCUAUGGGGCGCAGCAGGCGAGAAAACUUUGCAAUGUGCGAAAGCACGACAAGGUUAAUCCGAGUGGUUUCUGCUAAAGGAACCUUUUGUCGGUCCUAGAAACACCGAUGAAUAAGGGGUGGGCAAGUUCUGGUGUCAGCCGCCGCGGUAAAACCAGCACCUCAAGUGGUCAGGAUGAUUAUUGGGCCUAAAGCAUCCGUAGCCGGCUCUGUAAGUUUUCGGUUAAAUCUGUACGCUCAACGUACAGGCUGCCGGGAAUACUGCAAAGCUAGGGAGUGGGAGAGGUAGACGGUACUCGGUAGGAAGGGGUAAAAUCCUUUGAUCUAUUGAUGACCACCUGUGGGCGAAGGCGGUCUACCAGAACACGUCCGACGGUGAGGGAUGAAAGCUGGGGGGAGCAAACCCGGAUUA
rnacentral:rRNA from 1 species